rnacentral:autocatalytically_spliced_intron from 1 species
AUGUCUGCUGCAUAAGCGAUUAUGCAGUAACCGUGCGUGAACCUUGCUAAGGGUGUGAGGGCAAAACCUUGCUAACGGGGGAACUCUAAGGGCUAAGCCUAUGACAAUCCCGUGCUAAGCCCGCUUAUGCGGGAAAGUGUAACGACUAUGGGCUGGUUACCCAGUACAGCUGCUAUUAGCACGCAGCUGGAAGUGCGCACCAACUUGCACUGGCAAGUUGAAGAUAUAGUCUAAUCCCCUUACAAAUAUCGGG